rnacentral:lncRNA from 1 species
UCACGGUGAUAUAAAAAUUGCAUCGAACGGAGGCCGGGAAGGGCCUCGUCGGAGGCAAAAACCGAGAGGGGGCGCGGCGGCGCCGCUGGUCUUCGGCCGCGUAUUCCGGCCGUUUGGCCAGAAUUUUGGCUUUGAUUUGGCCAUAGGAGGAAUCAGCGUGGAAAAACGAGUCGGGAGUAUGAAAUUUACCUCGAUCGGCGGUCGGAAAUUUCCCCGGUGCGGCGGCGGGUGGCGGCGGUCGGCCUCUGGUUCGUCUUCUCCGGCGAGCGGCAGGCGGCUAGGGUUUGUGGUCUGGUGUGGGGGUUCUAUUUAUAACCCAUUGCCUUUUGAUCUCAGCCGUCCAUUUUGUUUUAAUCUGGGCC